rnacentral:rRNA from 1 species
UACGUAGGGUGCGAGCGUUAAUCGGAAUUACUGGGCGUAAAGGGCGCGUAGGCGGCGUCGCAAGUCAGGCGUGAAAUCCCCGGGCUUAACCUGGGAACUGCACUUGAAACUACGAUGCUGGAGUAUGGCAGAGGGAGGUGGAAUUCCACGUGUAGCGGUGAAAUGCGUAGAGAUGUGGAGGAACACCGAUGGCGAAGGCAGCCUCCUGGGCAACUACUGACGCUGAGGAGCGAAAGCCAGGGGAGCAAACAGG